rnacentral:misc_RNA from 1 species
GAUGAAGAACGCAGCGAAAUGCGAUAAGUAAUGUGAAUUGCAGAAUUCAGUGAAUCAUCGAAUCUUUGAACGCACCUUGCGCCCUUUGGCCAUUCCGAAGGGCAUGCCUGUUUGAGUAUCAUGAACACCUCAACUCUUCAUGGUUUUCCGUGAUGAGCUUGGACUUUGGGGGUCUUGCUGGCCUAUGGUCAGCUCCUCUAAAAUAAAUCAGCUUGCCAGUGUUUGGUGGGUAUCACAGGUGUGAUAACUAUCUACGCUUGUGGUUUUCCACCAGGUAACCUUCAGCAGUGGAGGUUCGCUGGAGCUCACAGAUGUGUCUCUCCUCAGUGAGGACAGCUCUUUGAAUGUUUGAUCUCAAAUCAGGUAGGACUACCCGCUGAUCUUAAGCAUAUCAAUAAGCGGAGGA